rnacentral:rRNA from 1 species
UACAGGGGGGGCAAGCGUUGUUCGGAAUUACUGGGCGUAAAGGGCCAGUAGGCGGCCAACUAAGUCACACGUGAAAUCCCCAGGCUUAACCUGGGAACUGCGUGUGAUACUGGAUGGCUUGAAUUCGGGAGAGGGAUGCGGAAUUCCAGGUGUAGCGGUGAAAUGCGUAGAUAUCUGGAGGAACACCGGUGGCGAAGGCGGCAUCCUGGACCGGCAUUGACGCUGAGGCGCGAAAGCCAGGGGAGCAAACGGG